AGAGUUUGAUCCUGGCUCAGGAUGAACGCUAGCGGCAGGCUUAACACAUGCAAGUCGAGGGGUAACGGGGAAGCUUGCUUCCGCCGACGACCGGCGCACGGGUGCGUAACGCGUAUACAAUCUACCUUAUACUGGGGUAUAGCCUUUAGAAAUGAAGAUUAACCCCCCAUAGUCUCUUAGAGUGGCAUCACUUCUAGAGUAAAGGUUACGGUAUAAGAUGAGUAUGCGUUCUAUUAGUUUGUUGGUGUGGUAACGGCACACCAAGACUACGAUAGAUAGGGGCCCUGAGAGGGGGAUCCCCCACACUGGUACUGAGACACGGACCAGACUCCUACGGGAGGCAGCAGUGAGGAAUAUUGGACAAUGGAGGCAACUCUGAUCCAGCCAUGCCGCGUGCAGGAAGACUGCCCUAUGGGUUGUAAACUGCUUUUAUACAGGAAGAAACACACCUACGUGUAGGUGCUUGACGGUACUGUAAGAAUAAGCACCGGCUAACUCCGUGCCAGCAGCCGCGGUAAUACGGAGGGUGCAAGCGUUAUCCGGAAUCAUUGGGUUUAAAGGGUCCGCAGGCGGUCAAUUAAGUCAGAGGUGAAAUCCCAUAGCUUAACUAUGGAACUGCCUUUGAUACUGGUUGACUUGAGUUAUACGGAAGUAGAUAGAAUAAGUAGUGUAGCGGUGAAAUGCAUAGAUAUUACUUAGAAUACCGAUUGCGAAGGCAGUCUACUACGUAUAUACUGACGCUCAUGGACGAAAGCGUGGGGAGCGAACAGGAUUAGAUACCCUGGUAGUCCACGCCGUAAACGAUGGACACUAGUUGUUGGAAUUAUUCAGUGACUAAGCGAAAGUGAUAAGUGUCCCACCUGGGGAGUACGAUCGCAAGAUUGAAACUCAAAGGAAUUGACGGGGGCCCGCACAAGCGGUGGAGC
rnacentral:rRNA from 1 species